AGCAACAGGGUGUGUGUGUCUCGAGCUCCAGACAGUAGGAUCUGCACAGAGAGAAGCAGCCAAGAACCUGCCUGAAACCUGGGAGGGACAGAGCAGCUGAUCGGGGACACCCCAGGACAGGAGCCAGGAGGAGCCCUGUUUCAGGGAGGAAUUGCCCAAAAAGGACAGACCGGAGCUGGACCCAGUAUCACUGCUGUCCAGAGCUGCAUGGGGCUUUUAUCAUCAUCAUGAAUUGAAGGAUGAGGACACCAAUGAAUCCAACACCACCUAGGAAUAUAAACACAAGUUUCAAGAACUUUGGCUUGUCUGCAUGGCAUGUUCAUACAUGGCAAGCCAGCGUAUGAAUCUACAGUAUACGAGUUUGCCAAGCAAUAACAUCCUGCACGGACACUGCCAUGGCACACUGAAAGGCAAAAGCGAAGGAGGACAAGAUUAAUGAACUGCAGGAAGAGGAGUAGCUUGCCUGUACCCCAGAGAUUAAGGUACUCUCUCAGCAGGCAAGAGCAGGGGUUCACUUCCUGCCUUUCUCUGACAUGGAGAAGGUGUUUAGAGCUGGGUCUCCCACAUUGCAGAAGAGUGCCCUACCUCCUGGGCUAUCAUGCAACCUCUCCUGUUGAAGCUGCUCCACUUCUUAUAAGUGAAUAGCCAGUGGAGCAGGAACUUGAACUCGGGACUUCUACAUCUGAGG